UCUCUCCCCCUUCCUUCUUUCUCUCUCUCUGGUUUUACAAUAUAUUUCCUUUCUAUAAACAAGUGUAGCUAAAAUAAAAGAAAUUAUAAAAGAAAGUUAAAGCAACUAAUUUCCCGAUCUAAUUCCAGAAACGAUACGAACAUUGAAGAAACCCAGAAUGUGGCAUCAAUAGGCUACUGCGAUUAUUAUUUUUCCGAAGGUUGGGUAAACAACUGCGUUUCUCUAAACCUGAGAAGGCGAAAACGCAAGCAUCAUGAGCGCAGCCAUGAUCCCGACGGGAAAGAAGAGAAGCACCAACGGCGGCGGAGGAAGUGGCGGCAACAUUAGGGGCAAAGCCACCAUCGACGCCGUCAAUGACACCAGGAUCAAGGCAGUCCCUAGGCUAAAACCACGCACCGUUUCUAUAUUCCUUAUGCUCGUUUUCUUUUGAAGUCUCUCCACGAUCAUGUUCCUCUCCUCCAUCGCCGGAUACGUUGGUUGUUGGGAUUGCGCCAGGUUUCUGCAGCGCUGCUGACGUAAGCACGAGGAGUAAAUUGAAGUUUUGGCGUAAGUCUUGCAAAUAAGUUGAAAACUAGAUGGAUGUGGUGUUUGUGAUUUAGGUACAGC
rnacentral:lncRNA from 1 species